rnacentral:rRNA from 1 species
UGGGGAAUAUUGGACAAUGGGCGAAAGCCUGAUCCAGCAAUGCCGCGUGUGUGAAGAAGGUCUUCGGAUUGUAAAGCACUUUCGACGGGGACGAUGAUGACGGUACCCGUAGAAGAAGCCCCGGCUAACUUCGUGCCAGCAG